rnacentral:rRNA from 1 species
UACGUAGGGUGCGAGCGUUGUCCGGAAUUAUUGGUCGUAAAGAGCUCGUAGGCGGCUUGUCGCGUCGGUUGUGAAAGCCCGGGGCUUAACCCCGGGUCUGCAGUCGAUACGGGCAGGCUAGAGUGUGGUAGGGGAGAUCGGAAUUCCUGGUGUAGCGGUGAAAUGCGCAGAUAUCAGGAGGAACACCGGUGGCGAAGGCGGAUCUCUGGGCCAUUACUGACGCUGAGGAGCGAAAGCGUGGGGAGCGAACAGG